GAGGAAAUCUCUGGUCAUCACAACUCUGAGGAACAUAGAGAAGAGCAGGCGACUGGGCCACUGUGUCUUAACUGCUGCUUUGUUGUCUACAGUUUAUGGAGGAAAUCUCUGGUCAUCACAACUCUGAGGAACAUAGAGAAGAGCAGGCGACUGGGCCACUGUGUCUUAACUGCUGCUUUGAAUUGAGGUGUCGUGUAUUCCUGGAGAAGGAGCUUGGACAUCCUACACAUGUGGCUGUUCCUGUGCAAAUUUACUGA